rnacentral:sRNA from 1 species
CUAGAAUGUAUAUUUUUUAGGAAAAGAAUACAGUAUUUUCAAAAUCCUGGAAUUAAUCGAAAUGGAGUUACCAUUUGGUAGUACCUGCCAAUGGCAAUGGCAAUGAAUAAAUGGCAUCAUAAUUACUAUGAAUCUAAGGGUAGAACUGUAAAGGCAGAGACAAAUGUAAGAAUCUGAAACACGAUUAUGAACUAUGGUCCUAAGUCAAGUGCAAGGUUCACCUUCUUGCUUCUUGUCCUAUAAGGUCAAACUUGUCUCAACAUAGGACAAAG